rnacentral:RNase_MRP_RNA from 1 species
CGCGCACACAGGGAGCUCGCUCCCCAACCAAGCUGCGUGGAAAGUCCCCGUGCCCACAGGCAGCGAGUGCCAGCAGGAGAUUGCCGGG